GUUCAGAGCCACGAGGUAUUUAGUCCUAUGGUUUUCACACAGUGUUGAAUGCGCUGUUUUUACUUGCCAGCUGGGUUAGUAAGCACUGAAGAUACGAACGUACCUACUCUUUUUAGUUUAGUUUAAAUCUCAGCAAUGUCAGUGCUUUGCAACAUUCACUAUUGGGACUACAGAAAAUAAAUUGUUUGUGUAAACUGAUGAAUGUAACGUUAUUUUUAACAGCUUGAGAUUAUAUGUAUUCCCUAGCAGUAUUUAUAUACACACAAUCAAUUACUAAAACAACUUUGGAUGUAUAGAAAAGCAACUUUGUCUUAAGUGAUCAAGUAUCAUAAAUUGGAAAAGACAACAGGAUGGCUGGAGGACUGAGAAGUUCUUUUUAUUCUUGCUCUGGACGAUCUGAACAUCAUCAGCUGAGGCUGGUCUACUGGUACCCAAACCUGCAUGCAUCUUACGUAACUGAAGGUGAAUCUGUCAAAUACAUUAAAUACGGUAACUGCAAGUUAGACCUACCGGAUCCUUGAUACCACCACCAUCCUUGCCCAGGCCUUCCCCCUUCUUCCAUCCCAUCUUCUCCAACAUUUUAUGUCCUUUAUUGCUGUUGCUGAUUUCACUUUGAAGAAAGUUUAAGAUAACUGAUAAGCAAGAGUUAAUACAAACAGUAUGCUCUCUACCCAAAUACCAAAAAAUGUUCAUGCUCUAGAAACCAGGACUCAACUAUGAUACUGUUCCUACUUCCACAAAGAGCUAUGCAGGAUACACUCGUGCUACAUUUUGCAAGUUCUUUCAUGAGUAUUACCAAAGUUAUUUCAAGCCUCUGGUCAAUACCAACAUAAAAGUCCUUCUGAACUACUUAAUUAUUUCUGGAAUUAACUUCUGGGUGGGAACUGACUGCACUAAGUAAAAGACAGUAUCGCUGCCUCACCACCAAAUCAUCCUAACACAUAUUUCAUUGUCUCAUACUUCCUUUUACUAGCCUACAAGUUCAUUUUUUUUUUUAAGAAAACAUCACUACAACUACAGAAAGGAAUGAUCAAAGAGGAAGACUAAAGCAAGUGUCAUUACGUCCUAAGAAAAGCUGGGUAUUGACAGUGAAAGAAACUGCAGGUGAAAAAUCUGCAUGUGUACCAUUAGUGGGACUGGAUAAGAAAAAUAGAAGCUGAGGCACUUGAAAAAGAUAAUAUUGAAGGUGUUAGUAGUGCAGCUGGAGAGUUCUUUCUGUUUUGAGUUGGUAAGGAAGUGAUCUAACCGUUCUUACAGCCAAACAAUUCUGUACGGAAGGUGAGAAAGAGCAUAUGAACUACUAACUGAGAAUAGUUUACUAUUUUCUAUAUCUCUUAACACAUUAUAUAUAGGUAAUGAAUACUUAACAAACUGUAUCCUAGUAACAAAUUAGUACUUCUUUAUCGUAAUUUUUUAAGAUUCACUGAAGACAUGGAAGAUGCCUCCCUUCCACUCACACCAGUCUCCCCAUCCCCCCAUCAAACUUACAUAUGAACAGAUGCUGGACUAUCAUCUCUCUGGAAGGUUCCUUCACUUCCAAUGGUCUCUCUGCGUUUUCCCGCUCUGUCUUUGUACUUUGGAUUCUUCAGUGCUUUAUUGUCUUCAUACUCUGUGUUCUUUAUAAGCAGGUUAAAUACCAUCAGGAGAAAUAAAGUGGACUUUACAUUCUUUA